UACGGAGGGGCUAGCGUUGUUCGGAAUUACUGGGCGUAAAGCGCGCGUAGGCGGCUUUGUAAGUUAGAGGUGAAAGCCCCGGAGCUCAACUCCGGAAUUGCCUUUAAGACUGCAUCGCUUGAAUUGUGGAGAGGUGAGUGGAAUUCCGAGUGUAGAGGUGAAAUUCGUAGAUAUUCGGAAGAACACCAGUGGCGAAGGCGACUCACUGGACACAUAAUUGAACGGCUGAGGUGCGAAAAGCGUGGGGAGCAAACAGG
rnacentral:rRNA from 1 species